UGCCAGCCGCCGCGGUAAUACGGAGGGUGCAAGCGUUGUUCGGAUUUACUGGGCGUAAAGAGCGCGUAGGCGGCUUCAUAAGUUAAGGGUGAAAUCCCGGGGCUUAACUCCGGAACUGCUCUUAAAACUGUGGAGCUAGAGACAAUCAGAGGUGGGUGGAAUUCCAGGUGUAGAGGUGAAAUUCGUAGAUAUUGGGAAGAACACCAGUGGCGAAGGCGGCUAACUGGCUCGGUACUGACGCUGAGAUGCGAAAGCGUGGGGAGCAAACAGGAUUAGAUA
rnacentral:rRNA from 1 species